rnacentral:rRNA from 1 species
GACGAACGCUGGCGGCGUGCCUAAUACAUGCAAGUCGAGCGCAGGAAACUGACGGAACUCUUCGGAGGGAAGGCAGUGGAAUGAGCGGCGGACGGGUGAGUAACACGUAAGGAACCUGCCUCAAGGAUUGGGAUAACUCCGAGAAAUCGGAGCUAAUACCGGAUAGUUCAACGGACCGCAUGGUCCGCUGAUGAAAGGCGCUCCGGCGUCACCUUGAGAUGGCCUUGCGGUGCAUUAGCUAGUUGGUGGGGUAACGGCCCACCAAGGCGACGAUGCAUAGCCGAGCUGAGAGGGUGAUCGGCCACACUGGGACUGAGACAAGGCCCAGACUCCCACGGGAGGCAGCAGUAGGGAAUCUUCCACAAUGGACGAAAGUCUGAUGGAGCAACGCCGCGUGAGUGAUGAAGGUUUUCGGAUCGUAAAACUCUGUUGUAAGGGAAGAACACGUACGAGAGGAAAUGCUCGUACCUUGACGGUACCUUACGAGAAAGCCACGGCUAACUACGUGCCAGCCGCCGCAGUAA